UAACAUUUCAAACACAUUUCUAUUUUCUUUACUUUUAUUUAAAACAAGAGGAGGAGGCGAGCUAUUCUAAGUAGAAUAAAACGAGCAACGUUUGGAUCGUAUCCCCAAUAUGCCGACGGUAGAAAGAAACAUCCCGUUGCCAAGAGUUACCGUGCUCUAUUUAUGAAACACACCGAAAUACAUUCGAGUACAUAAGUAGGACAAUUUAAUGAUCGAUACUAGUGAACUUGAAUGAUUUGAUCCAGUUCAUAUAAGUCCAGAUGAGAGAUGAAUAUAUUCCAUAAAAGUGCACCAGAACUGGCAUUGUAAUGUGUCUUUAGUGUAUUCGAAGAAUUGAACAAUGACUAUCAUUCUAGGAAAAUCAUGUUUUCCAAGCCAAGUUCACAACACAGCUAACUUACUUGUUUAUUUUAUGAACAAAUAUGUCAAAAUAAUAAUAAAUUUUAUUUUUGUGUA